AAAUUGGAGAGUUUGAUCCUGGCUCAGAACGAACGCUGGCGGCGUGCCUAACACAUGCAAGUCGAACGAGAAAGCCUGAGCAAUCGGGUGAGUAAAGUGGCGGACUGGUGAGUAACACGUAGGUAAUCUACCUGCAAAAUGGGAAUAACUCCGCGAAAGUGGGGCUAAUACCGAAUAACGUUCAGAAAACAUAAGUUUUCUGAACCAAAGAUGGCUGAAUCCGUAAGGAUGCUAUUGUUUGCAGAUGAGCCUGCGUACCAUUAGCUAGUUGGUAGGGUAAUAGCCUACCAAGGCAACGAUGGUUAGCCGGCCUGAGAGGGCGAUCGGCCACAUUGGGACUGAGAUACGGCCCAGACUCCUACGGGAGGCAGCAGUGGGGAAUAUUGCGCAAUGGAGGAAACUCUGACGCAGCGACGCCGCGUGGAGGAUGAAGGUUUUCGGAUCGUAAACUCCUUUUAGAGGGGAAGAAAACUAUCUUGUUAACAAUGAGAUAGCUUGACAGUACCAUCAGAAAAAGCCCCGGCUAACUCCGUGCCAGCAGCCGCGGUAAUACGGAGGGGGCAAGCGUUGUUCGGAAUUACUGGGCGUAAAGGGCGCGUAGGUGGCGAUAUAAGUCAGACGUGAAAUCCCUCAGCUUAACUGAGGAAUUGCGUUUGAAACUGUAUUGCUUGAGUACAGGAGAGGAGAGUGGAAUUCCCAGUGUAGCGGUGAAAUGCGUAGAUAUUGGGAGGAACACCGGUGGCGAAGGCGGCUCUC
rnacentral:ncRNA from 1 species